UUGAUUUCAAACAAACGGCCGGGAUCUGUCCUGACUCAACUCUUCUCCCACACUCGUCCCCGUCGCCAGUUGCCACCGCUCCCCGCCCACCUCGAAAUGGAUCCCGCGCCGGCGACCCCUCGCUGGAACCUGGAGCGCCCCUACCUCACCGGACGCUUCCACCAGGAGGCGAAGGUGUCCGCGGCGUCGCAGGCGCCCGGAUCCAAGCCUUUCUCUCUCGACUCAUUCAGCCGCGGAGCUGGCGGCGGCGCUGGGAGUGUCCUCGGAUCGUACGCUGUUUCUGUGCAGGAGCUUUUAGUUAUUGAUGAUUUGCUAUCAGCUCUGGUGGGUAUUGAGGGAAGAUACAUUUCAAUUAAGAGAGUACGCGGAAAGGAGGGAUAUGUUGUCUUCCAGAUUGAUUCUUCAAUGGACCUUGCACUCCAGGAGUUGACUCGCCGAAUUUUCCCCUUAUGUGAAGAUUUCGUGCUAGCAAGUCAGUUUGUGGAGUCCAGGUCACAUUUCAAAACUGGUUUGGUUAACCAUGCUCUAGCGGCAGCUCUAAGGGCAUUCCUCCUGGAUUAUCAGGCAAUGGUUGCUCAACUGGAGCAUCAAUUCCGUCUUGGAAGGCUCUCUGUUCAAGGAUUAUGGUUCUUUUGUCAGCGGAUGAUGAGUUCAUUGAAUGCACUGGCUGUUCUAAUAGAGAAGGCUAUGUCCAAUAAUACUAGUGGUUCGGCGACACUUAAUCUACUUCAUAGUCAGGCAAAGGCGAUGGCUGGCGAUAGUGCUGUUCGGUCAUUACUGGAGAAGAUGACCGAUUGUGCAAGUGCAGCAUACCUCAGGAUGUUGGAAAGAUGGGUGUAUGAGGGUGUCAUAGAUGACCCUUAUGGUGAAUUCUUCAUUGCUGAAAACAAAUCUCUGCAGAAGGAGAGUCUGACUCAAGAUUAUGAUGCCAAAUAUUGGCAGCAACGGUACAGCCUAAAAGAUGGCAUCCCUAGUUUUCUCAAUAAUGUCGCUGCCACCAUUCUGACAACAGGAAAGUAUCUUAAUGUUAUGAGAGAAUGUGGGCACAAUGUUCAGGUUUCCCUAUCAGAAAACUCUAAGCUGACGAGCUUUGGUUCAAACCACCAAUAUCUUGAGUGCAUCAAAUCUGCUUAUGAUUUUGCAAGUGGUGAGCUCUUGACUCUAAUGAAAGAUAAGUAUGAUCUCAUUGGGAAACUGCGAUCAUUGAAGCGCUAUCUACUUCUUGACCAAGGUGAUUUUUUGGUUCAUUUUAUGGAUAUUGCCCGAGAGGAGCUUACAAAGAAACCAGAAGAUAUAUCCGUUGAAAAACUUCAGUCUCUUGUUGACAUCGCGUUGCGAAGUACAGCAGCUGCUUCCGAUCCAAGUCAUGAAGAUUUGACUUGUUGCGUUGAAAGAAGUUCCCUGCUUAAAAAACUGACAAGCCUGAAAGACUUGGACUGUGCUUACUCUUCAGACAAGCUUGCUGCAGCUGAUGUUGAUCAGCCCAUGACAUUAAACAUAACUGGCUUGGAAACGUUCUGCCUUGGCUACAAGAUUCCAUGGCCACUAUCUCUUGUAAUUUCAAGGAAGGCUUUAACAAAGUAUCAAUUGAUCUUUCGUCUAUUGUUUCACUGCAAACAUGUUAGUCGCCAAUUGUGUCAAGCGUGGCAGAUCCAACAAGGGUUCCGGUCUGUCAAGAUUCUUGGAACACCAAUUCUACGGUCAUCGAUACUUUGUCGCAGCAUGCUCAAGUUUGUAAACAGCCUUCUACAUUAUCUAACUUUUGAGGUUCUUGAACCAAACUGGCAUUCAAUGCAUGGCCGCCUUCAAACUGCAAGGAGCAUCGAUGAGGUCAUCCAGAUACACGAUUUCUUCCUCCAGAAGUGUCUAAAAGAAUGCUUGCUGUUGUUGCCUGAGCUCCUCAUGAAAGUUGAGAAGCUGAAAGCGUUAUGUCUUCAAUACGCGACUUCCAUCCAGCUCUUGAUACCAUCCAUCGAGGUCGCUGCUGCUGAGAGCAAAUCGAAAUCCGGGUCGUCGAGAGCAAGAGCCAAGAGAUCACAGGACAGAGACGAGCAACUGAAACUAGCAUCCGAGAACGUCGUGAUGUCGCAGUCAAUCCUGAAAUUCGAGUCGGAGUUCAACGCGGAGCUCCAGAGCCUCGUUCCUACGCUGAGCAAGAGCUCGCAGGCCGAACCAUACCUGACCCAUCUCGCGCAGUGCAUUCUUGGCGUCGGAAUCGACCAGUUGUGUUCGUCAGGAACUGGGCUGUGUUGUUUGAGACGAGUCGCCGAUGUAGUAAGCCUGUAGCUUCAAGAGCCUGGCUACGAAUCAGAGUGGAAGCCUCAAUUCUUCACUGCCCACCCACCCGCAGUUAGCUCGCUUCCCACUCACACACACUCCUUCACUGCCCAGUACCCACCCCACUGCCAUCACCCCCACCACCGGUACUACCAGCAGGUCCAGCGCCACCAUCGCCCUACCCCUACGCCCCCACAGCAACACGAGAAAACCACCGCAAGCACGCGCCCCGCUCCGCCCCGAGACGCGACGGUGGAAUCCGGCAGGCACGGGCACGAGCAGGCGUGCGGACACAUAGCCCGAGCGCGCGCGAUGGCAGUCGGAGGGCGGCGCGCGGCGGCGGCGGCGUGCGGGCGCUGGUGCCUGGUGAUCCUCGCCGUGGCCUCCGCGCUCGGCGUCUCCGGGCCCGCGCUCUACUGGCGCUACAAGAAGGGCUUCUCCUCCCCCGCCUCCGGCGCUGCCGCCGUCUCCGCACCCUCCUGCCCGCCCUGCACCUGCGACUGCCCGCCGCCGCUCUCCCUCCAGUCCAUCGCGCCAGGGCUCAUGAACUUCUCAAUUUCAGCUUGCGGCACAAAUGACCCUGAGCGUACCAAGGAGAUGGCGAAGCAGUUUGUUGAUCUCCUCAACGAGGAACUCAAGCUGCAGCAGGUUGUAGCUGAGGAGCACAUCCAUCACAUGAAUGCCACACUUGUCGAGGCAAAAAGGCAGGCUACCCUGUACCAGCGAGAGGCGGAGAAGUGUAACGCGGCCACAGAGACUUGUGAGGAAGCCAGGGAGAAGUCUGAGGGGGCAAUCUCAAAGGAGAGGAAACUGACAGCACUGUGGGAACGUCGAGCUCGCGAAUUGGGUUGGCAGGAUUCUCGAGCCGCGACCACCGCACGAUAGCUUUGCAAGCAGUUUGCUUCUGCAGGUAAAAGUAUUUGCAGCAGGCGGCAUUUUACCACACCGAGCAAUGUUAGCUGUAUGGGUCCACGUGUAAUGUUUGCCAGUGUAUGACUAUGAGUUGUCCCAGUUGAAGUAUAGUUACUCUAGACACUGUAGAUUCCUUAUAAAUGUAACUAGUAUACAUUGUUUAAAUAUGCAAGCUUUAUAUUGAAGACAUUCAGUGUAGUGUUGUGGCUGUAGAUCAAAAGGCGGUUUCUGCUUUCGUCGAAA